rnacentral:rRNA from 1 species
UACGAAGGGGGCUAGCGUUGCUCGGAAUGACUGGGCGUAAAGGGCGCGUAGGCGGCUCAUAGAGUCGGACGUGAAAUUCCUGGGCUUAACUGGGAGGGUGCGCCGGAAACUGGAGUGCUUGAGCGCGGGAGAGGAAAGCGGAAUUCCUGGUGUAGCGGUGAAAUGCGUAGAUAUCAGGAGGAACACCUGUGGUGUAGACGGCUUUCUGGACCGUAGCUGACGCUGAGACACGAAAGCGUGGGUAGCAAACAGG